rnacentral:rRNA from 1 species
CAAUAGCGUAUAUUAAAGUUGUUGCAGUUAAAAAGCUCGUAGUUGGAUUUCUGGUGGGAGCGAUCGGUCUGGCGCUUAGCGCGAGUACUUGCAUCGUCUCCGGCCAUCCUUGGGGAAAGUCUGUCUGGCAUUAAGUUGUCGGGCAGAGGAUCCUCAUCGUUUACUGUGAAAAAAUUAGAGUGUUCAAAGCAGGCUUAUGCCGUUGAAUAUAUUAGCAUGGAAUAAUAAGAUAGGACUUUGGUACUAUUUUGUUGGUUUGCGCACCAAAGUAAUGAUUAAUAGGAACAGUUGGGGGUAUUCGUAUUCCGUUGUCAGAGGUGAAAUUCUUGGAUUUACGGAAGACGAACUACUGCGAAAGCAUUUACCAAGGAUGUUUUCAUUAA